GGAAGUAAAAGUCGUAACAAGGUCUCCGUUGGUGAACCAGCGGAGGGAUCAUUAUUAGAAGCCGAAAGGCUACUUAAAACCAUCGCGAACUCAUCCAAGUUGCUUCGGCGGCGCGGCGUCCCUCACGGGGCGCCGCAGCCCCGCCUCUCCGGAGGUGUGGGGCGCCCGCCGGAGGUACGAAACUCUGUAUUAUAGUGGCAUCUCUGAGUAAAAAACAAAUAAGUUAAAACUUUCAACAACGGAUCUCUUGGUUCUGGCAUCGAUGAAGAACGCAGCGAAAUGCGAUAAGUGAAUUGCAGAAUUCAGUGAAUCAUCGAAUCUUUGAACGCACAUUGCGCCCGCUAGUACUCUAGCGGGCAUGCCUGUUCGAGCGUCAUUUCAACCCUCAAGCCCUGCUUGGUGUUGGGGCCCUACGGCUGCCGUAGGCCCUGAAAGGAAGUGGCGGGCUCGCUACAACUCCGAGCGUAGUAAUUCAUAUCUCGCUAGGGAUGUGCGCCUCUGCGUUAAGACCAUCUUUACUCAAGGUUGACCUCGGAUCAGGUAGGAAUACCCGCUGAAUUAAGCAUAUCAAUAAGCGGAGGA
rnacentral:rRNA from 1 species